AGCACCUCAAGUGGUCAGGAGGAUUAUUGGGCCUAAAGCAUCCGUAGCCGGCUCAGUAAGUUUUCGGUUAAAUCUGUACGCUCAACGUACAGGCUGCCGGGAAUACUGCAGAGCUAGGGAGUGGGAGAGGUAGACGGUACUCGGGAGGAAGUGGUAAAAUGCUUUGAUCUUUCGAUGACCACCUGUGGCGAAGGCGGUCUACCAGAACACGUUCGACAGUGAGGGAUGAAAGCUGGGGGAGCAAACCGG
rnacentral:rRNA from 1 species